UCCUGUGCCAGGCUUCCUUAAUGGAACGUGGUGUUGUGCCCAGAAGGAUGAAAUUUUCGAAAGAAAAGUUAUCAGUUGACGUUAUGAUGCCCAGUUGCUGUUAAAGGACUAGGAUAAAACUGAUUAAAACUUAGAUGGUAUUAAGUCGCUAAGGUAACGUUUACAUCGCAAUAAGACAUUUUCCCUUUAAUUUCAAAGAUUUUCAUAAUAAUGAAAAUAAGCUACUGCCAUUUGUUGAAAGAAUGUUUAAGAGACUUGCAGCUUAUCUAGCUGUGCCCUUGCAAAAAUUAAAUUUGUCCGCCAUGAGUCCUCAAAAUUUUGU
rnacentral:lncRNA from 1 species